AGCCAGCAGCUGUCCUGUAUUCAUUUCUUCCCCUGUUAAAGGGGUAUUACAUUUGGAGGCACCGCUGGGAUGAGAGAAGUGAGGCUGGUGUCCUGAAGCUGAGGAAGACGCCCACAUCGAUCAUCCCAUAAAACAACCCAGGUGGCAGAGAGCGCGGCUACAGCUGGGGUGAAAGCCUAGUCAAGGAAGGCGUGCAUCCUGAGGUUGAGAGAUGGCUCACCAAACCUGAAUACCCCUAGGCCCGGGCAUGUCCUUCAGCAUAAAACUGCAGCCAGCUUUCAGUCUUGGCGCUGCCACGCUGUUCUACUUCUGUUUGUUGAAAUAGGAACAGGAUUUUACGAUGGCAGCUGCAACAAGGAGGUCACAGCAGAUGUAGAAGAAGAUUACCUGGAGUCCGGAUAUCAGUGAGGCGGAAAUGGAGUCAGAUCAACGGACCAAUCACAAAGAAGACCACACAUUCAUGUUCAGUCAACACUUUGUAUAGUAUAAAGACUGGGUCAGGGAAAGGAGAGACAGUCAGACUUCGUGAACUGACACAAUCUGUUGCUUGUCAGGGAUAGGAAGAUCUAGACCCAGAGCUCUGUAUGCUUUAUCCAUUUACUGCUAAAUAAAACGGAUGGUUUUGAG